ACGAGCCGUAUGAAGGGAAACUUUCAAGUACGGUUUUGAAUGGGAGGGGAUGGAGGCGACUCCAU
rnacentral:ncRNA from 1 species